GGCUGGGCUCUGUGAUUGCCUCUGAUGAGAUAAAGUUGCAGACUUGUCUUCCCAAAUAGUCUGGAACUUUGCCUGAUCAGAAUUAGUCACAGAGCAAUACC
rnacentral:pre_miRNA from 1 species